rnacentral:rRNA from 1 species
UGAGGAAUAUUGGUCAAUGGGCGAGAGCCUGAACCAGCCAAGUAGCGUGCAGGAUGACGGCCCUAUGGGUUGUAAACUGCUUUUAUGUGGGGAUAAAGUGCGUGACGUGUCAUGCAUUGCAGGUACCACAUGAAUAAGGACCGGCUAAUUCCGUGCCAGCAGCCGCGGUAAUACGGAAGGUCCGGGCGUUAUCCGGAUUUAUUGGGUUUAAAGGGAGCGUAGGCUGUCUAUUAAGCGUGUUGUGAAAUAUAGCGGCUCAACCGGUGGCUUGCAGCGCGAACUGGUCGACUUGAGUAUGCAGGAAGUAGGCGGAAUUCAUGGUGUAGCGGUGAAAUGCUUAGAUAUCAUGACGAACUCCGAUUGCGCAGGCAGCUUACUGUAGCAUAACUGACGCUGAUGCUCGAAAGUGCGGGUAUCAAACAGG